rnacentral:lncRNA from 1 species
CCUGUACCUGCAGUUUCUCACGAUAAUCAGCUCACAAUAGUCCUUAUGCCAAAGAGGCAUGUGUGGAGGUGCCAUAUUCUGGUCUCCUACAACAUUCAGUAAUGGUCAAGAUGGUUGAUGCAGGAAACAGAUGGAGGGGCAGAAGUUGAUACUCAUCUCAUUAGAUCCAAAGAAGCCAAAUGGUGGCCAUCACCUGUGACAUGAAGAGGGUAUAUUUUAUGGAACUGGACAGCUUUCAGAAUCACAAGCAACCUCUUCAAAAUGUGAUCUACUGAAACGUGCUUGAAAGAGAGAAUAGGAGUGAGGCGGGCAAAGGAAGCAGAAGCCAUUGUGAACUGCCCUAGAGAAACCUUGGGCAUCUUUUUGUUGGGCAAAGUGGUAGAGGCUGAAACGGGGAAUAGCAUGUAACAUUUUAUUUGACUGAAAUAAACAGCUGUUUGUUUUUUUUUUCUUUCAUAUGUAAGAUAGACAAAAGGUGUUUGACAGAUAAGGAUUGGGGCAAUGUUGGUAUGAGUUCAGCUUUUUAGUUUGUUCUUUAAAAGUGGCCAUCAAGAUGUGGGUGUAAGGUAUUUCACAGUGAUUUGCAUUCAUUCUCAUUGCUGUCACCAUCAAGGCCCAGUUACUCAAUAUCCAAGUUUGUUUUUGUUGUAAUUCAAACAAAAUAAAUACAAGUAGCAGGGCUUUCCAUCCUUCCUGGGAAUAUUGUGUGGGUGCAUCUCAGUGAAUGCCAACUGCUUUCAAAUAAAAUGUGCCAUCUGAAGGAGCACAGUUUCCACUCCAGACCUGCAUGUACA